CCUACGGGAGGCAGCAGUGAGGAAUAUUGGUCAAUGGGCUUACGCCUGAACCAGCCAAGUCGCGUGAGGGAAGACUGCCCUAUGGGUUGUAAACCUCUUUUGUCAGGGAGCAACGCCGGCUACGUGUAGCCGGACUGAGAGUACCUGAAGAAAAAGCAUCGGCUAACUCCGUGCCAGCAGCCGCGGUAAUACGGAGGAUGCGAGCGUUAUCCGGAUUUAUUGGGUUUAAAGGGUGCGUAGGCGGAAUGCCAAGUCAGCGGUAAAAGCGCGGGGCUCAACCUCGCUCCGACGUUGAAACUGGCGUUCUUGAGUGGGCGAGAAGUAUGCGGAAUGCGUGGUGGAGCGGUGAAAUGCAUAGAUAUCACGCAGAACUCCGAUUGCGAAGGCAGCAUACCGGCGCCCAACUGACGCUGAAGCACGAAAGCGUGGGUAUCGAACAGGAUUAGAUACCCUAGUAGUC
rnacentral:rRNA from 1 species